rnacentral:rRNA from 1 species
ACGAACGCUGGCGGCGUGCUUCACACAUGCAAGUCGAACGGAAAGGCCCUGCUUUUGUGGGGUGCUCGAGUGGCGAACGGGUGAGUAACACGUGAGUAACCUGCCCUUGACUUUGGGAUAACUUCAGGAAACUGGGGCUAAUACCGGAUAGGAGCUCCUGCUGCAUGGUGGGGGUUGGAAAGUUUCGGCGGUUGGGGAUGGACUCGCGGCUUAUCAGCUUGUUGGUGGGGUAGUGGCUUACCAAGGCUUUGACGGGUAGCCGGCCUGAGAGGGUGACCGGCCACAUUGGGACUGAGAUACGGCCCAGACUCCUACGGGAGGCAGCGGUGGGGAAUAUUGCACAAUGGGCGGAAGCCUGAUGCAGCAACGCCGCGUGCGGGAUGACGGCCUUCGGGUUGUAAACCGCUUUCGCCUGUGACGAAGCGUGAGUGACGGUAAUGGGUAAAGAAGCACCGGCUAACUACGUG